GACACCAAACCUCACACUGGAGAUGAAAGGCAAAGGCUUAGCGUUCCCACCCUGCACUGAGCGGCCAUUCCUGGGCAGGUCCAGCCGAGCACAGACGGCGCCUCCAGAAGUUUGUGGUGGGCAACCUUGCAGUGGGUAGAAAUCAAAGAUACUGUUUGCCGAGUGUUGCUGCCUGUUGAGUAACAGGCACAGUCCUGUUCAGUGCUAAGAGGAGUUAUCACCACCACAUUACAGAUGAAGAACCAAGCUCAGGGACUUGAGGAAGGUUCCCAUGGUCCCAGAGCUAGUUGGAGGUGGAGCUGGGAUUUGAACCUCGUCUGUCUGGUUGAGAGCCAUGGGUGCACUGCCCAGUGGAGCCCCUCCUGUCAGACCCCGUCCAUGCUACCUCGGCCCUCUCCCCACCUUGCCCUGCCCCUGCCCCCUCCCACCAGCACCUUCUGACCUGGGCAGGGCAGCCAGGGGUUGGAUGUGGAAGCACAGGGCUGAGCCAGGGCUUAGUGAAGCCCUCCCAGCUCAACUUGAUGGCUGCCGGGUGGUUUUCUCCCUUCUUUCCUUUCGUUCAGUUUAAGUUCGUAGUGGCCAUGCUGCUCCAAUAUCGUCCACUGGCGUCCCAGCACUUUCUCUAUGGGGAAAGGACAGGACUGGUCUUAGCUUGUGGCAAGAGGAGAAGACCACUGAGCUGCAGGCCUUCCUGGCAACACGAGGGUCACCGUCCCUGUGGGACCUGCUCCUGGGCUCCCUUUGAGAGGAGCAGAGGGGAGCUGGCUCCCUUUGCUGGUGCUGGAGACUCAGAGCCACUCUGGAAUGAUCUGAAGUGUGGUCGGGUUGAAGGGGGACAAGCUGCGACCCCAUCUGUGCUCAGCCCUCAGCCUGCAGUCCCAUUAUCCUCAGGGGUGGCAGACUGGGGACCUAUGGCCACAUGUUCUCUUUGGCCAACGCAGUGUCUCAUGAUUUUGAACUUGGGUGCUUGUGCUCCUUUAUUCUUCCCCAUAACUCCCACUUGUUCUACUUACUACGAUCAACAUUUGCCUUCUUGCUACCUGGCUGGAUGGCUAUAGUCCAAGCCCCUGACUACUUCCUGGGCUGACGGGGGAGAGGCAAGAUGAGCAAGCAAGAGCCUUCUAAAUCACAGACAUGACGUAGUGCCGGAAUAUUCCCGCCACCGCCACCAACAAGACAUCCAGCAACGUUUCCUGAGGGCUAACUGUGUCCCAGGCUGUCCCCGGGCUUCAUGGGUAUUAACUCUCUCAAGAGCCUGAACGAGCGGGGACAGCCACCAUCUCCAUUUUAGACAGGAGGUUACUGGAUCACAGAGAAGUUAGGUAAUGUGCCCAAAGCCACACAGCUAACAAGUGCAGGGCCAGCGUGUCUUAACCAUGGUAUCGGCCAACAGAGCUGCAAAGCACUGCAGAAACACAGAAGGUAGAGCAACCUCACAGACUACCUCACUGGCCGCUUGCCACAGGCCCACAAGUGAGACUAAGUGACAGACUCGGAGGAGGUCAGUGACACACCUGCCCAAGAUCUUCAGCUAGUAACUAGUGGGGCUGGGUUUUCAACCCAGACUUCAUUCCUGCCUUUACCUCGAACUAGCUGGGAAGGACUCAUUAGCUGACAGAGAGGAGGUGAUGCGAAUACUGCAGAACGGGAGCAUCCUUCGAAAUUCUCAGCCCUGGGGUUGAAGCCUUCCGUAAUUCAGUUGAUGAAGUGAAGUGCCUGCUGACCUGGCUCUGUCGGAAGGGGCUUUGCCAAAAGCCUCCGUCCCCUGUUUGAGUUGUGCAGCCUGCCUCUGAUUGACGCCCGCUCAGCCUCUCAAUCCCCGAGAGUGAUUCCGUCUCAUGGAUGAGAGCCUCCGACAUCUGUACCUGUCGGGCGACAAAUCCAGACGCACACUCCCUGUCUGGUUAGAGAUGCAUCAGGCCUGAUUAGGCCUGUGAACCUGCCGGCUGCUCUCAAAUCCCUUUAGCUGAAAGUCUCAAAGAUAAAUGGAAAUCGGGGGCAAUUCUCGCCAGGAAGUUGCCUCGUGACGUGGAGUGAAAGGUCUAGAGGAGCGACAUGGGGGAGUGGGCAGGAGGACCCCUAUGUGAUGCUGGGGUGGAAGAAAUGGCCGACCAGCAGGUGCAUGGCAAGGAGGCCCUGUCCCUCUCAGAUGACCUCAGUAAAGGCCACACCGGCUGCUGCCCGCCCUUCCUGACUCUCUGAGUCACUCCUUUGCCACCUACUUUUCCUCCACCUUUGCCCCCAAACCUGUCCCAGCACCCCCUCUCUUUCUCUCCCUUGGAAGCCCCUGCCUGCCUGCCCACCUCUCACUGCUCUCCUGCUGUGGGGACCAGGGUAGCACAGCAGCCUGCAGCAUGUCCACUGCCCCCAGCAGGCACCAUCACUAGUGCUCAGGGGACAGGCUGAUGAUGCAGGCCAGGCAGGGGACAGGACAAGACAAGGAAGGGAGGGCAGCACUGGAGAUGGGAAGACUCAGCUCAAGGACCUCUGAGAUCCAGGAGACAUACCUCCUCCCCUCCUAGGAUGGGGAGCAGGGGUUCCAGCACAGAGGCUGGGGACAAGGGCAGAGGUGGCCUGUGGGAGGGAUGCCUCUUCCUCCAGACUCAGGAUGCAUCUGCUUCCCUCUUUCCCCUUCCAUCUCUCUGUUCUCCACUCUAGCUCUCUGUCUCUGGGCUUCUCUAACUCAGCCCCUUGGUCUCUUUAUAUCUCCAGCUCUAUGCAGUGUAAAGGAUGAGUUGGAAUAACUUUUCAGCAUUAACCACCGCUCCUGUGUGGGGGAACAUUAUCUUAAUUGAGUCUCAGCUUGUUCACAGCCACUCAGCUGCCAUAAAUAAUGGAUGUCCAAAUGGACUGUAAACCAGAAGAACUGAACAAUGCUGCACGUUGCCAUUGCCACUAGCUUCAGCCUUCUGCAAGGAGCCCAGCCUCCCUCUUAAGAAAGUAUGGCCCAAGCUUGUCACAGCCAGACAUCCAGAGAUUCCCAAUGAGAAGUCCUGUAGUGGCAUGGACCAAAGGGAAGCUGUAGGGAAGGAACUGGGAACUUGCCCAUCCUCUGUUCCUUUUAGUGCGAGGGCAGUGAGUGUCCCCCAGAGAUGCAGGUCUUCUGGGCAAACCAUCCUGCCCACGAUAUCGAUAAGACACCGAAACCGACCCACACUUUCCCAUGUGCACCAGCAGAUGGUCUCUUGGUCUGUAGCUUAAAUCCUGGAGUAUGAAUCCUGUGGCCGUCUGCUUACCAGGUCCCUGAUGAAUACACCAUCCUCUGUGCAUAAAGCAAGCUGCUGUUUAGAGAGUCUGAAGCUAUUUAACACACUUGUGCUGUUUGCAGAACCUCCUUGUUUAUAGAGCCAGCCAAUGAUUGCAAAUGAGGGCUGUGUGCAGAUUCAGAUGCUGUUGGCUGCCUCUGCCCCUGAAUUCAUAGUCAGAGGCUUCACUCAUUCCCAAAUCCCAGUUCCCACUUGUUCUCCCCCUCCUUUUGACUGCUCUGCCUGCCCAGGGUCUUCACCGCUGCCCGGUGGACCACCCAUGUCAAAGGUAUCCCCAUCCGCUGUCUCCCACACUGCUGCUGUGCUCAGAAAUAGCCUCUGAUAAUAGGGCCCCCAAAUUCCUUUCAGAUCUUGAGGUUUUCGGGUUGGGGGGGUUGAGAGCCCUCUGGAAAGGCCACCCUGUGCUACACAGCAGUGCCUGGUAGGUGAGGUUCUCGGUGCCUCGGGGCUUGCUUUUAAAGCUCUGGGCAAACACAAGCUAUUAAUAAAUCUCAGUGUCCGCUUUAUUCUAACACAUUCUUGUUGGUUUUGUUUUGGAUGCCUGUGGGGUGGAUGAUGGGAAGCAAGCUGUGGUUGUUUAGUGGUUUUUAACUUUAAUGGCUUUGGUAAUGUAGCUAAAGCCUGUUCAGCUUCCGUUGUUACUGGUACCUGAAUGCUUCAAGCAAAUCAUCACCAGCCUUCUGGUUAUCUCUUUAAUAGGCCAGGCUGGAGGAACACAGGUCAUUGGGAUAUUUAGGGUCCGCAGAGGAGCAGGGAAUGGUCCCUCUGUGACCAGAGUGGAAAGCAAUUGCUUCUGUCCAGUGCCAUGCCUCCUGAUGAGAUGAUUUCCCCUUAGUUUCCCCUCUGUGUCCUGGGACUCAUUUUGUCAUAGGCAGGUUUUGAAAUUGCUGCUAUAGUGAUGAAUGACACUGCUAAUAACACUUAGCUUUCGUAUAACGCUGGGCAGGUAACACAGCGUUCCACAAACAUUCCUGCGCUAGAUAUUCAUGAAGCAGAUGAGGGAAAUGAACUUCAGAGACGUGUGGGACUUCUCCAAAGCAUAGACCUCAACUCAGCCGACACCACAUUCAAGUUGGCCUCUCUGUACCGGGGUUCUCAACUAUGGGACAAAUUUCAAAGAGACCUUCAGCUCCCUCAGGAGUUUCUGUGAACGCCCUUAAGUUGUUUGCAAAAUAUUGCACAGCGAGUGUGUCUACAGCUCCUUUUGGGGUGAGGGUCUAGUGCUUUCGCGAGAUGUGCCCAAAGGUGUGGAGGUACUAGGACCGUGGCUUGACUCCCACGGCCAGCCUCAUGAAGCCAGGGCUUCCGUGGUGCUCAGUCACUCGUCGGCACAUGGUUAUCGAGUGCCACAGGUAUAGGCACUGUUGUGGGCACUGGAGGAACAGAUGAUCAGCGUGGGCAAGGUCCUUGCCCUCAAGCAGCUUUGGUUCUAGUUGAGGAGACAGGCAAGAGAGUUAAAAUAAAAUAAAUGAAUAGGGAAAUAUUAGUGUGUAGAAGAGGCAUGGGGGAAAUAAAUAGGACAAUGACACAGGAAAACUGGGAAGACAGGAGGGGAAGCUUGCCCUGUGAUGAUGACCUGAAAGAGAGUCUCCCUCAUCCAUCAGACUGGGAGCUCCCCGAGGGCAGAUGCUGUGUCUCUCCCAUCAGACUUGGAGAUCCGGAAGGUAGGGAACCAUGAAAUCCCCUGACCAUGGGGGUCUAAUAUGAGACAUGGCAGGUAGCGAUGCUCAGCCAUACUGUCAUCUUGAAAUACUGGCAAGUCUGGAAUGUCCUUUUAACUUGGGUUUUGUUCAUUCAGCUUAUUUCACAAAGGCCUUCCCUUUGUGAAAGGGAUCACUCCUGGGAUCUCCAGCCUCAAACCCUGAUCUUCCUCUCUCUUUGAAAAAGGAUCACAUCCUUUUCAGUCCUUAGGAUUUCUUUCCCAACAUCAUAUUCCAAGAAUAGAGACACAGGCUAACGCCGGUCAGACCCCUCCCCCGGUCCUCCCACCACCUCUGCCCCUCGCCCAGCACCCCUUCCUCCCAGCCACCCUUCCCAUGUUUCAGAAAGCUUCAGCAGCCUGUCCCUCUCCCCUUCACAGCUGAGUAUGUAACCAAAAUUGGCUGUUGUAAUGGCAAACUAAACGAUGCCCUAAUACCCAGAUCAAUCUUCCUGUGAAAUAACUCAUUAUUCAGGCUCCAAUUGCGGGGGAUGGAAUUAAGACAAGAACAGUUAAAGGAGAAACUGCUGCAUCAGGUAGCAUUUGGGAAUUCCCAGAUGAG
rnacentral:lncRNA from 1 species